GGUAACUUGGAGCAGCAGGUUGACUGGAAAACUUGGAGCAGUAGGUUGACUGGGUAACUUGGAGCAGUAGGUUGACUGGCAGGUUGGGGUAACUUGGAGCAGCAGGUUGACUGGGUAACUUGGAGCAGUAGGUUGACUGGGUUGGUUGGGGUAACUUGGAGCAGUAGGUUGACUGGGUAACUUGGAGCAGCAGGUUGACUGGGUUGGUUGGGGUAACUUGGAGCAGUAGGUUGACUGGGUAACUUGGAGCAGCAGGUUGACUGGGUAACUUGGAGCAGCAGGUUGACUGGGUUGGUUGGGGUAACUUGGAGCAGUAGGUUGACUGGGUAACUUGGAGCAGUAGGUUGACUGGGUAACUUGGAGCAGCAGGUUGACUGGAUAACUUGGAGCAGCAGGUUGACUGGGUUGGUUGGGGUAACUUGGAGCAGUAGGUUGACUGGCAGGUUGGGGUAACUUGGAGCAGCAGGUUGACUGGGUAACUUGGAGCAGUAGGUUGACUGGGUUGGUUUAGGUAACAUGAAGCAGCAGGUUGACUGGGUUGGUUUAGGUAACAUGAAGCAGCAGGUUGACUGGGUUGACUGAGGUAACUUGAAGCAGCAGGUUGACUGGGUUAACUGGAAUAACUUGAAGCAGCAGGUUGACUGAGGUAACUUGAACUGGGUUAACUGGGGUAACUUGAAGCAGCCGGUUAACUGGGGUAACUUGAAGCAGCCGGUUAACUGGGGUAACUUGAAGCAGCCGGUUGACUGAGGUAACUUGAAGCAGCAGGUUGACUGAGGUAACUUGAACUGGGUUAACUGGGGUAAUUUGAAGCAGCAGGUUGACUGGGUUAACUGGGGUAACUUGAAGCAGCCAGUUGACUGAGGUAACUUGAAGCAGCCGGUUGACUGAGGUAACUUGAAGCAGCAGGUUGAAUGCGUUGACUAGGGUUCAGUAAAUCACGUACAGACAUGCAUAAUAUUAAAACAAUCCUUCAAAUACAUUUAAAAUCCUGUCAGAACUUGCCACAGACAACCAUAGAGAUGUUGCUUUGUAUUUGCAUGUACGUCAUGAUCGUAAACCAAAGGGGGUGCCUGUUGAUCCCCGGUGUGGCAGCAGAGCUGUCAGGUUUGGCUACCUGCUUCUUAUAGCAACACUUCUUCACACAACAACAACAUACAGCCACCACAGCAGAGAAUAAGCAGAAAACACUAAUAUAAACUCAUACAGGCAUAGGUGUGAGAGGAAAUGAG
rnacentral:lncRNA from 1 species